UACGUAGGGUGCAAGCGUUAAUCGGAAUUACUGGGCGUAAAGCGUGCGUAGGUGGUUUGUUAAGUCUGAUGUGAAAGCCCUGGGCUCAACCUGGGAAUUGCAUUGGAUACUGGCAGGCUAGAGUGCGGUAGAGGGUAGUGGAAUUCCCGGUGUAGCAGUGAAAUGCGUAGAGAUCGGGAGGAACAUCUGUGGCGAAGGCGACUACCUGGACCAGCACUGACACUGAGGCACGAAAGCGUGGGGAGCAAACAGG
rnacentral:rRNA from 1 species